rnacentral:rRNA from 1 species
UACAGAGGUCCCAAGCGUUGUUCGGAUUCACUGGGCGUAAAGGGUGCGUAGGCGGUCGGGUAAGUCUGAUGUGAAAUCUCACAGCUUAACUGUGAAACUGCAUUGGAUACUAUCCGGCUCGAGGAAUGGAGGGGAGACUGGAAUACUUGGUGUAGCAGUGAAAUGCGCAGAUAUCAGGAGGAACACCGGUGGCGAAGGCGGGUCUCUGGGCAUUUCCUGACGCUGAGGCGCGAAAGCGUGGGGAGCAAACGGG